GUCGGGAAUUUUGCGCAAUGGGCGAAAGCCUGACGCAGCAACGCCGCGUGAGGGAUGACGGCCUUCGGGUUGUAAACCUCUUUUCUCAGGGACGAUGAUGACGGUACCUGAGGAAUAAGCCACGGCUAACUACGUGCCAGCAGCCGCGGUAAUACGUAGGUGGCGAGCGUUGUCCGGAUUUACUGGGCGUAAAGAGCGCGCAGGCGGUCGUUCAAGUCGCGUGUGAAAGCCCCCGGCUCAACUGGGGAGGGUCACGCGAUACUGAUCGACUCGAAGGCGGGAGAGGGAAGCGGAAUUCCCGGUGUAGUGGUGAAAUGCGUAGAUAUCGGGAGGAACACCAGUGGCGAAGGCGGCUUCCUGGCCCGUUCUUGACGCUGAGGCGCGAAAGCUAGGGGAGCAAACGGGAUUAGAUACCCUGGUAGUCC
rnacentral:rRNA from 1 species